rnacentral:rRNA from 1 species
GACGAACGCUGGCGGCGUGCCUAAUACAUGCAAGUAGAACGCUGAGGGGGGAGCUUGCUCUUCUGGAUGAUUUGCGAACGGGUGAGUAACGCGUAGGUAACCUGCCUGUUAGCGGGGGAUAACUAUUGGAAACGAUAGAUAAUACCGCAUAACAGUAGUUGUUGCAUGACAUUUGCUUAAAAGGUGCAAUUUCACCACUACCAGAUGAACCUGCGUUGUAUUAGCUAGUUGGUGGGGUAACGGCUCACCAAGGCGACGAUACAUAGCCGACCUGAGAGGGUGAUCGGCCACACUGGGACUGAGACACGGCCCAGACUCCUACGGGAGGCAGCAGUAGGGAAUCUUCGGCAAUGGACGGAAGUCUGACCGAGCAACGCCGCGUGAGUGAAGAAGGUUUUCGGAUCGUAAAGCUCUGUUGUAAGAGAAGAACGAGUGUGAGAGUGGAAAGUCCACACUGUGACGGUAUCUUACCAGAAAGGGACGGCAAACUACGG